CAAAUCUUAAAUUGAAGAGUUUGAUCAUGGCUCAGAUUGAACGCUGGCGGCAGGCCUAACACAUGCAAGUCGAGCGGUAGCACAGA
rnacentral:rRNA from 1 species